GUAUUGCCCAUGUAGGUUAUGUGUGUGUCCACAUAGAUUUGUCUAAAUGUGUGGUUCAUGGGAAGACUUUGAUAGACAUCUUGGGAAUCUUGCUCAUCUUUCUCCAAAAGAGAUUUUGAUUCUUGCCUGGAUAGGAGCAGAAGGUGCCAUGAGGUCAGCUAAUUCUGCUCUCCUUAGAGGAACGUCCCCUUCCCCCUUGUGCCCAUAUUGGUAGUAUAAAAGAAAUGAUUUUUUUUCCUGAAGUUUAAGACGCUUUCCUGGUCAGUAUCCUUUAAAGAGCAAUGGAUGCCCGAAGCUUUACAACUUUCUGUAAAAUGCUUGCUCCACAAAAGACCAUCACAAAUUGUGAAUAGUUAGCAAACCUAUUUAUCCAAGCAGAUAGCAAACAACAAUUAGAAGUUACUAGAAUUAGAUUAGAACAUACCAGCCAAUAAUUCACAGAGUGAAUAAGCUCUCCCACUGAGAGUGAGAUAUCUCAGCUCAAGUGAGAGAGAAUCCCCAAUAAUAACCAAAGGGAAAUUCCCUAAAGUCUCUCGGGAAAUGGGCUGGAAAUCAGAGAAAUUUUUAGCAAACUAGCUUUCCCCUACAUGUAUGCCUUCCAGAACCUGUUUUCUUUCUCUGAAUUUCUCCCCAAAGUGGAUCUAGAACCCUGUGUCUUCCCUCAAAGAAAGAAGAAUGUUUCCCCUCUCAUUCUUUCCACCAGUGAGAAGAACCUUAUUAUGGAAAUCUAGGCUUGACCCUGGUUACAUUCACAAUAUCAACAGUAACAACAAUAAUACAAGCUUAAUCCAUCACUUAACCUCAUAUUUACAGGGGAGCAGACACUGGAGUAACACAACAACCAGCCAUUCAGAAGGAUUUUGAAGCCCAGGGCUGCUUGACGUGCCAGUGAUCCUCUGCAAGCUGAAUUUGGAGAUGCCUGUAGCUUCCAGAAACUACAGAACCAGCCUUGGCUGGCUCAAAGACAACCUUGAGACCUUGCUUGGGACUUUGUAAACAUCCUGCUUCCUGACUUAUUGUGUCCACAGAUAUCUUCUCCUUUAACCCCCACUCCCUUCCCAAAAGCCUCUAAAAACUAUUAAUAUCUCACUCUUUUCCACACCCCCUUUGAGCAGCUGAGAAUUCUCUCUCCCUCUCUGGUCUCUUGCAAGUUCUCAGAUAAACGCUUUUGUAAUUUGU